rnacentral:rRNA from 1 species
UACGUAGGGUGCAAGCGUUAUCCGGAAUUAUUGGGCGUAAAGAGCUCGUAGGCGGUUUGUCGCGUCUGCUGUGAAAACCCGAGGCUCAACCUCGGGCCUGCAGUGGGUACGGGCAGACUAGAGUGCGGUAGGGGAGAUUGGAAUUCCUGGUGUAGCGGUGGAAUGCGCAGAUAUCAGGAGGAACACCGAUGGCGUAGGCAGAUCUCUGGGCCGUAACUGACGCUGAGGAGCGAAAGCGUGGGGAGCGAACAGG